rnacentral:tRNA from 1 species
GUUUUUUAAUUGGUAAAAAUCAAAUUGACAUGGUAGGGGUCACAAGUUCGAAUCUUGUUGCGAGUACCA